UAGGCGAUGGAUAACAGGUUGAUAUUCCUGUACCACCUAUAAUCGUUUUAAUCGAUGGGGGGACGCAGUAGGAUAGGCGAAGCGUGCGAUUGGAUUGCACGUCUAAGCAGUAAGGCUGAGUAUUAGGCAAAUCCGGUACUCGUUAAGGCUGAGCUGUGAUGGGGAGAAGACAUUGUGUCUUCGAGUCGUUGAUUUCACACUGCCGAGAAAAGCCUCUAGAUAGAAAAUAGGUGCCCGUACCGCAAACCGACACAGGUAGUCAAGAUGAGAAUUCUAAGGUGAGCGAGCGAACUCUCGUUAAGGAACUCGGCAAAAUGACCCCGUAACUUCGGGAGAAGGGGUGCUCUUUAGGGUUAACGCCCAGAAGAGCCGCAGUGAAUAGGCCCAAGCGACUGUUUAUCAAAAACACAGGUCUCUGCUAAACCGUAAGGUGAUGUAUAGGGGCUGACGCCUGCCCGGUGCUGGAAGGUUAAGAGGAGUGGUUAGCUUCUGCGAAGCUACGAAUCGAAGCCCCAGUAAACGGCGGCCGUAACUAUAACGGUCCUAAGGUAGCGAAAUUCCUUGUCGGGUAAGUUCCGACCCGCACGAAAGGCGUAACGAUUUGGGCACUGUCUCAACGAGAGACUCGGUGAAAUCAUAGUACCUGUGAAGAUGCAGGUUACCCGCGACAGGACGGAAAGACCCCGUGGAGCUUUACUGUAGCCUGAUAUUGAAAUUCGGCACAGCUUGUACAGGAUAGGUAGGAGCCUUUGAAACGUGAGCGCUAGCUUACGUGGAGGCGCUGGUGGG
rnacentral:rRNA from 1 species